rnacentral:rRNA from 1 species
AGAAUGAACGCUGGCGGCGCGCCUAAUACAUGCAAGUCGAGCGAGAAGACGUAGCAAUACGUUUGUAAAGCGGCGAACGGGUGAGGAAUACAUGGGUAACCUACCCUCGAGUGGGGAAUAACUAGCCGAAAGGUUAGCUAAUACCGCGUACGCUUCUUGGACUUCGGUUCAGGGAGGAAAGCGAUGCCGAGGGUAUCGCGCUCUUGGAUGGGCUCAUGUCCUAUCAGCUUGUUGGUGAGGUAACGGCUCACCAAGGCUUCGACGGGUAGCUGGUCUGAGAGGACGAUCAGCCACACUGGCACUGCGACACGGGCCAGACUCCUACGGGAGGCAGCAGUAAGGAAUAUUGCGCAAAUGGGCGAAAGCCUGACGCAGCGACGCCGUGUGGGAUGAAGGCCUUCGGUGUAAGCUCUUUCAGCCGGAAAGAAACGCAACGGUUAAUAACCUGUGUGGAUGACGGUACGGAAGAAGAAGCACGGCUAACACGUGCCAGCACG